rnacentral:rRNA from 1 species
GUGAGGAAUAUUGGACAAUGGCCGGAAGGCUGAUCCAGCCAUGCCGCGUGCGGGAAGACGGCCCUAUGGGUUGUAAACCGCUUUUGUUGGGGAGCAAUAAGUCCUACGUGUAGGAUGAUGAGAGUACCCAGCGAAUAAGCAUCGGCUAACUCCGUGCCAGCAGCCGCGGUAAUACGGAGGAUGCAAGCGUUAUCCGGAUUUAUUGGGUUUAAAGGGUGCGUAGGCGGAUGCUUAAGCGUGAGGUGAAAUGCCCGGGCUCAACCUGGGAACUGCCUCGCGAACUGGGUAUCUGGAAUGUCCGUGCCGUGGGAGGAAUGUGUGGUGUAGCGGUGAAAUGCAUAGAGAUCACACAGAACACCGAUUGCGAAGGCAUCUCACGAACGGAUGAUUGACGCUGAGGCACGAAAGCGUGGGGAUCAAACAGG